rnacentral:misc_RNA from 1 species
UUAGAAAGCAUGGCGGAUGCGGACUCUCUGCAUGAUAUGAGCUCGGACUUAGAUCAAGAUCAAAGCGCUGUAGACGCUGAUGUCGACGACGAUGAAGUUUCCGAGCAAGGACUUGAAGCUGCGUCUAGGAAGAAAAAUAAGAAAUUUCUUAAAAAGAGGAAACACAAGGAUAUUGAAAGGUCAAGUGGUGACUCAGACAGUCAGAUAGUCAAUGAUGAUGAAGAUCACGGUGUCAGGGUUCCCAUACUGCAUGACCAGAACGAACAAAACCAAUCAGGAAUGGAGGCUGACUCAGAAAGUCAAGGAUCUGGAUCAAAAGGAUCAGAAAAUGGACAGAAAAAGGAAGCUUCAGGAGCUUCGGGUCCACUAACAGAGGAUGCACCAGAGACAUCACUGUCGGGGUUACAGAGGAUACAGAAGGCUGUUGAGCUACUUUCAAUGACUCCAGCUGCACCUAAAAGUAUGGAAGAGGCAUCCAAGAAACGCUACCAGUUCUGGGAGACCCAGCCAGUACCAAAGAUAAAUGAGAAGAUCCAGACGAGUGUGAAUGAGGCCAUAGAAUUGGAUAAACCUGAGGAUGAGAUCCGGGGUGACGCAUAUUCCCUCCCCGGGGGCUUCAGAUGGGAUACCCUCGACUUGUGUGACCCCCUCAUUUUGAAAGAGCUGUAUACCCUACUGAAUGAGAACUAUGUAGAGGAUGAUGACAACAUGUUCCGCUUCGACUAUUCUCCAGAAUUCUUACAGUGGGCGCUGCAGCCUCCAGGCUGGUCUAAGGACUGGCAUUGUGGGGUGAGAGUUAUCAAGAACGACAAGCUCUGUGGGUUCAUCAGUGCCGUCCCGGCAAACAUCAAGAUGUAUGAUAAAUCAAAACAAAUGGUAGAAAUAAAUUUCUUGUGUGUCCACAAGCGACUUCGAUCAAAGCGGGUGGCUCCAGUUCUGAUUAGGGAGAUAACUCGUCGUGUCCACAUGAAGGGACUUUUCCAGGCAGUGUAUACUGCAGGAGUGGUCCUACCAAAACCGGUGGCCUGUUGUAGAUAUUGGCACAGAUCUUUAAAUCCUAGGAAAUUAAUUGAAGUGAAGUUUUCACACCUAAGUAGGAACAUGACUAUGCAGCGGACACUCAAAUUGUACAAACUCCCAGAUACCCCCAAAACACCCGGAUUUAGGAAGUUUACCCCAGCAGAUAUCCAAGACGUACAUGCUUUGUUAUCUACUUAUUUGCAGGGACUAGAUUUAGCACCAGUAUUUUCUAUGGAGGAGUUCAAGCACUGGUUUAUACCCAGGCCGGGAAUCAUUGAUAGCUAUGUAGUGGAGAGGGAUGGAAUAGUGACUGACUUUGUCAGCUUCUACACGCUACCGUCGACUGUGAUGCACCACCCAACCCACAAGUACUUGAAGGCGGCCUACUCCUUCUACAAUGUCAGCACAAAGACGCCCUGGAUGGAACUGAUGCAGGACGCACUUAUUGUUGCAAGGAGUAUGGGAUUUGAUGUAUUUAACGCCUUAGAUUUGAUGGACAAUAAAGAAUUUCUGGAAAGGCUUAAGUUUGGCAUCGGUGAUGGAAACCUACAGUAUUACCUGUACAACUGGAAGUGUGCCCAGAUGAAUCCAGAACAGGUUGGUUUAGUGCUACACUGAUGAAAAACCUAAGGGACAACUUCCAUUGGACAAAAACCAAGAAAAUCCUUGAGUCUGUCGAACAGUCCUUCUCAGCAUUAGGAGAUGUGUUGUUACCUGACUAUACAGAGCUAAGCAUGCUACAAUAUACCACUAUCUUAAUGCUGUACGAAGGGAUGUCAAUCUUAACCUUGGAUCCUAUGAUUUAUGGCGUGCACUGUUUGAGGUCAACGAAAAACGUGUGUUGGUUGUGUAGAACAAACACCAAACAAUAUUGAAAAAACUUCACCAGAAUUGUGGUUGGGUGGUUACUGGAAAAACCACACAUUGUCAUAAAAUUCCUCUAUAUAUACAUUAUAUAUGCUUGUGUAUAUGUAUUGGAAGGGAUUUUUAUUUGAUUGUGCUUUACCGAGUUGAAAGAAGACUGUCAAAAGAACGGGUGAUCUUGAUUACAAAAAAACAUAACUGAUAUUUAUUGUUAAUACGUGAGAGGGAAUACAUGUAUUAACUUAACUUUUGGAUAUUAUUAGGAAGGGCCAGGCCAGCAAGGCUAUUCAUGUCCAAUAUGUCGGGAGUUCAUUCAUUUUUCCAUGUUUGUUAUCAAUGAGAGCAAGGCAAAAAAUCUUGAUUGUGUUAGACAACCUAGCUGCAUUAAAUGGUACCUACAUACUGGUACGUUUAUUUAGUGAAUAUGUACAAAACUGGCAUUCCUUACACUAAACCACUGUAGCAUGGUCAGCUUCUGGCUUUGAUAUAGGUGAUGCCAUUAUUCUUUUUGAAAUAGUGAGAUUUUAAAAAACUGAUUCAGUGUAAUUAAGGAUAAGCUCGAUUUUGUGAAACGCUUUUUUCUAUUUCAGUAAAAGGAGAACAAAGUUGCUUAUAAUUCCCAAAUGUUUAGAUACAUGACUUGGCUGAUUUUGUUCAGUCUGUGUAGAGCUACAGAUAAUUUCGACAUAUAUGAAAAUGAACUGUAGCAUAAAGUUGAAAUUUUCUACUCUCUAAUCUUAAUGCAGAAGAGAAUAACACUAAGUGUUCUGUGAUACCAUAAUGGAAUGGUUUUGAUUGUGUCCAUAACACAUUCCAGACACUAGAGUUUGGUAUGAGGUCUAUUAACUCAUUCACCCCUGCAUAUUUAAACUGGACUUGCCUAGCCUAUGAUUUGGUAAGGUUCAAAUGUGACUUUAGCGGUGAAUGGGUUGAAGAGGAUAUUUCUUGAAUAGUGCAUAAGGAAUUUCAUAAACUUAUAUUUAAAAAAUACCUAGAAAAUAAGUGUCUGAACAAUUCUUGUCAUUCAGUCAUUUUUGUCCUAUGACUGUUUCCAGAAUUGAUAUCAAAUACCCUAUUACUCUAAAGAACAUUUUUCCAUAGUCCAAGCAUAUUUGAUGUUAGAAUAUAAUAUUAUUUGCCUUUGAAAGGAUAGUAACAGUGUUUGAGAGAAAAUGUGAAUAAGUGUGGCUUAUUGCACAUCAUCACUACUACACAAAGUGUACAGAUUUUAAGGCAAGGUACUUGUCAGCAUUCAUACACCAUGGUCUACGAUCCAUAGAUUUUGUUAUAUUGUGACAUCAGGUCAGACAUUGAGGCUGCUUUCUUAAUUACAAAGUGUGUGGAGGUUUGUACUGUUGCAAUAAGUGUGAUGAAUUUAUACAUGCCAUGGAAAUGAUGUCAUAAUUUACUAGUACACAUAGUCUCUUAAUGGACUGGAACCUCGUUAGUUGUGACAAUGUUGUCAGAGUAGUGUCCUUGUUACUCUAGGGGCUACAUCACUCACUGAUGUGCUCUGCACUCCUGGAGCAUGUAAUGGCAAAAUGGAAGGCCCGGUGCUAGCUAUCCGACUGGUCUAGAUCUCGAGUAAAAGAACAAACUAACCAGUAGCAAGGUUGAUAGCUGUCCUUUGAAGACUACAGAGGCUUGACACCUGACUCAGAUGUUGCCAUUAACUCUUUCACCCCUGAAGCACAUUUGAACUCUUCCAAUUCAAAGGUUGGAAUAGUUCAUUAUGAAAUUUCAGGGGUGAAAGAGUAAUAAGCUACUGCACAGUUCUGUUCGAUGUAUAUCAAAGAAUGAAACUAGUCUAACUUGUAUCAUCCACACGAUGGCAUGUACAGCGCCUUCGGUUAUGCUACAAAUUGUUCCAGAGGUGCCAAAAACAUAAGUGAGAUUAUCUGCAGGUAUUUCACAGAUGGAACCUCACUAAUCACAGCAAUGUAGUCAUAGUAGUAGAAAAACCAGAUGUGAUUAUCAUUUCUAGUGAAGCGAGGUAAUGUAAAUUGAUUGUUGUAACUGUUAAUGAUUUGUACCUGUGAUCCAGUUUGAGCUUUCUCUGCUUAUUCAUGCAUGUCAGUACUGUUUUCAUUAUUGAUAUACUGAAAACUGGGAUAUUUCGCUGCAGUUUAAUUUUCGCCUUGUUUGCCCUCUCAUAGUGAAGGGGAACUUAUCAUUACAGGGAACAUUUGUAAACAAAAUAAUUAACAUAGUCAUUAAAUUUGAAUGGCAAUUUUAAUAUUGGGCGAAAAUGGAUUUUACCGGCGAACGGCGAAAGUUUGACUGGGCAAAAAUGUCCCUGUUUGCAGUAGAGCAUUCAACAUGGAAUUGGAUAUCAAGUAAUUUUGUCCAUUUUGGAUUCCAGAACAUGUGUUACGAUUUCAUUUUUCAAGAUUUAUUUUUUGGUAUCAACUUUUAAAUUGAGCUUGAUAACAUGGAUUCUGUUUUUUAUCAGGGUUUUGAUUAAUACUCUCCUGUAAUUUUGAGUAGAUGUUCUUAUGUGAAAAACAAAUGGAAAAGAACAAAUGUCUGUAAAAGACAUGUAUUUGCCUAUAACACAUCUUUGUCAAAAUCUUCAGAGAGUUAGGUGUUGUUGACAAGGUCUGAAGGUCUGAAUAGGUUAACAGGGUCAACAUAAUAUUUAGAGAUUGGUGUAGUUGACAUAAUCUUUAGAGAUUGGUGUAGUUGACAUACAGGUAAUAUUGAGAGGUCAGUGUAGUAAACAUAAUCUUUAGAGAUUGGUGUAGUUGACAUACAGGUAAUAUUGAGAGGUCAGUGUAGUUGACAUAAUCUCAACAGGUUAGUGUGUUUGACAUACAGGUAAUAUUGAGAGGUCUCUGUAGUUGACAUACUCUCAACAGGUUCUGAAAACAUCUUUCCAAAUGAUGUAGAAAUGGUCAUUAAAGUCAUGAUCAAUGAUGAGUAGAAAGUGUGUAUGUUCUGAUUGGUUUAUAUGUUGGACACUAUCUGGAGACUUGUGCAGUAGAGCUCUCUGGAGCAGGCCUAGAUGUGUAGUGGCAAAAUGUUCAACUAAGACAUGCACAGGUUUCAGUACUUCACUGCGCUGGAUGAAGAGACACAAAUUUGUUUGUUAGAUUUUGUAUUGAAUGAAUGCUGUAAAUGAUAACUCUCAUUUGCUUUCUUUGAGUAGUUGCAUAUUUUAAUGAAAUCUGAAGGUAUUGAUUUUAUACUUUGGGUUUGUUGCUUUUUUGUAGAAUUCCUAAUGUAGAUGUAGUUUUGAUAUUUGUUACUAAUAAUGAGUUAUAGAAAAAAAUUGUAGAAUCAAGUUAUAUCCUUGAUUUUAAGGUAAACGUGAACUGCUAUGUAAAAUAUUACCAGAAUCAUGGUCACAUCUACAAGCUGACUGCAAAAGCUUGUUUUUAUGAAUUAGUUUGGAAAGUAAAACUGUGAAAGAAAGUGAAUUUGCGUAUGUUUCAUAAUGUAAUGUGUAACAGGUAACUUUGGUCGGAUUUGAAGAAAAGCUUCAAAUGCAAUUCAGUGUGUUAUAGAAUGAGACUUUGUAUAUGACACAAACAUGAUCCACUAGCUGUAUUAUUAUGCCUCAUCUAUAUGUAACAGCAGAUUUGAUUGGAUCAUGUUGAUCACAUGACUUUAAAAUAAAAUGUUGUGUUUCCCUCUCAUUAUAGUUUCCCCUGGUCAUAUUUUCCCACAUUUGGGGGCCUCAAGUUAAAAAAAUCUGUAAAAAUUAUUACCCUGAGUUUUGAUUGAUUAAAACAGAAAAAUCAAUGAAUUAUACUGUUAUUGUACUAUCUCUGUAAAAUAGAAUACGUAUGAUUUAUCAAUUAUAUUAAUGAAAUUUUGUUCGCAGAAAUGCGAGAUGAACCAUGGUAUGAGAGUUUCCCCUACAACAUUUCAUUUUACGAUUUGCCAAAACAAGACCUAUUGUAUAAAAAAAAUUGAUAACAAUUUCCAUUUUAUUGAGACUUUUGACUUUGUUUAGUUUCUACAAUUUAUACGUCAUCAAGAAAACUCAUUAAAAUGUUAGUGUAUUGUAGUUUAGAUAUUAAAGAAAUCAUAAUCACUCGACACAUUUUCACAAAAGUAGUUUUAGAUAUUUGUGUCAUGAGCAGGCAUGGUUUGUCUUUGCGAUACCUUUUGGUUUUGAUUUAGGUUCCUUCUGUUGGGUUCUGGAUUGUGGUUGGUUGGUAUUUCGUGGACUUGUACGCAAGGAUUUUUGAUAGUGAAUUGAUAAGUGGAUGUGUAUCAAUUAGAGAGGGAACAUGUGGAUCAUUUGUGUUUGUCUUUAAUUUAUUUCCUUAUAGUAUUGUUUAUUUUGAUAGACGAUCAUGGUUUUUUCUUUUGUAUGCCAUCAUUUGUCAUGCGGUAAUGUAAUAAUAUAACAGGGUUAUUUGGAUCUGAUAAUGUCUGCUUCAAAAUUUAUAUGACCUGCAACAAAUGUUCUUGCGACUUUGCUUGCAAUGCAUAAGUGUUGCUGUAUACUUAGUUAUUUAUGCAUGAAGAUAUCAGAUCACUGUUUACUGGGGAAAUUUUGAUGCGGUUUAAUUUCCGCAAUUUUCAGUUCCGCAAUAAGGACAAAUUCAUUAUGACAGCUAAUAUUAGUACAUGGUUUACCCUAUAUAGUAAUUACCCGUGAAGAGUGAAAUUUACACUAGUGACUAUUCGACUGGGCAAAAAUUCCCAGUAUACAAUAUAACUAAUGGUAUAUAUGUCUGCCUUAAUAUAUACCUGUCUGUAAUGAACAUAUAUUGUAAGGCUCUAGUAGGAUUGCUUUCUACAGAGAAAAUUGUCGGGUCUCGCACAAAAUUUGUUAUAUAUACAUGUACUGUAUUUAUCCUGUAAUAAGGGCAGGGGCCCCAACACAUAUUCUCUGACUGAAAGUAGUGGGUGGACUUAUUACAGGACAAAGAAAAAGCUUUUGUUGGCAUUUCUUCCAAACAGCAAUAUAUAUUGGUGGGCUUAUUACCAGGCAUGGGCUUAUUGCUCGAUAAAUACGGUACAACACAAUGAAAUUCAUGCAGGGCAUUUUAUAUAUACAUACAAUCAUGUAAAUAAUUGAAGUUGAAAUUUCCCUCAUUCAGGCUUUAAUUUACACAUGGUUCCUGUUUUGUAUCAUAAAAUUAAUUGAAGCAAAAAUUUCCCUCAUGCAGAAUGUCUUAUGCUUGUAUGUGACCACCUAGAUAACACCCUGAAAAACAAGUGCUAGUUGAAUUACUUUUAGUUUAAAUACUGGUAUCGUUCCAAAUCCAGAUCGAAGCAUGAUACUCGUAAAUCAUACAUUCAAUGUGAUAAAGUGUAUGUGAGGAACAGGAUCAUGUAUCUUAUACUGUGAUGUGAUUAGAUCGUGUAUGCAAUCAAGGGCAGAUAAUUCAUCUCAUGUUUUUCUUGAUUGAUUACCAAGUUGGUCCAGAGAUGUACAUAAACAAAAUGAUUCUGUGUCUCUGAUAGAUGUUGAAGUUUAGGAAAAACCUUUUUUAGUCUUGGAAGGCUUUGUACUCAUCAGAUUUAAAAAAAAAUCAUCGUUAUUGCAUAUUGAAUGUAAUCAUAUAGGUUUUUGAGUGUUAAAAAAUGGUAUGAAACCACUUAUACAUGUAUAUGUGAAAUCAUUUUGAUUUUUGUUUUGCUUUAUUUCCAUCAUUUUGACUUGUUUUCUUGUACUGAUGCAGUACUUUUAGAAAAGAUUCAAUUCUAAGCCAUCUUGUAAUUCUGGAACAAUGUAUUAAUUGAUUCAGAGGUAUCCUUGUGUGUACAGGGGAUACCAUUUACCAUUGGGUAUUGAUUGCUAUACUCUUUGAAUUUCUGUACUACAUUAUAGGCAAACUAUUUGUCUUAAAAGACAAAAUUUGCUAAAUAAAACAUACUGUGUGUGAAA